rnacentral:rRNA from 1 species
GACAGAGGUGCCAAGCGUUAGGCGGAAUCACUGGGCUUAAAGCGUGUGUAGGCGGAUCGUUAAGUACCUUGUGAAAUCCCACGGCUCAACCGUGGAACUGCUGGGUAUACUGGCGGUCUUGAGCCACCUAGGGGCGAGCGGAACAAGCGGUGGAGCGGUGAAAUGCGUAGAUAUCGCUUGGAACGCCAACGGUGAAAACAGCUCGCUGGGGGUGUGCUGACGCUGAGACACGAAAGCCAGGGGAGCGAACAGG